rnacentral:tRNA from 1 species
UGCAGCAUGGCUCAGUGGAAAGAGCCCGGACUUGGGGAGUCAGAGGUCAUGGGUUCAAAUCCCGGCUCUGCCA